CCCUACAGCCCCGUCGGGAGGGCUCCCGCUCCCAGCCCGGGUGGGGGGAAGGGGCUGCGGGAGCGGGUGCCCCAGGGGCUUUACCUCGGUGCGGCAAGAGCGGUGGCUCCGGGUGGGGCCCACGCAGCUGGAGCCUCCAUCUGUCCUGCGGGACCAGAGCACCGGGAGGCCCGGCCGGUGACUCGACACCCCCGCCCCCUCCUGGGGCUCUCCUGCAGCCCCCCAGCUCCCGUGGGGCUCCCCGCGGGCAGCGCUGGGCCAGAGGGGCGGCAAGGCGAGGAGGGGGUGCCCUCCCACAAAACCCCCAAAGGCAGGUGUGACAGGCCCCGCGAUUGUGCUUGGGAGAAGCAAGACUCAGAAGCCCCACGGUCCUGCGGUUUGUCUAACUCGGCCCGCAGGCUCUCAGAGCAAAUUUCCAGAGAAUACCCACGUUCUGCCCUUGGAGAUAAAGGUCCGGCUGCAGGGGCUCCACUGGCCCCAGGGGCCCCAGCUGUCACUCUGCCGCCUCACCUGGGGAGCCUGCAGAAGACGACAUGCUCCGAGCAUGAGCCCAGAUGUGAUGGGUGGAGUUGGAGCAGCCUUCUAGACUGUGAAGUAAUUUGGAAAUAAAGCCUCCAAAAAGUGAAGCAAAGAGAACUCCUAGAGCUCAGAGGACUUUGUGAGACAGAACAAAGAUCCUAGGAGAAGGAUCAAGUCUGUCGUGUUCAAAGGACUAUUAUUUGGGACUCUGAAAAAAAGAAUUUAAUCCUAACACAUACAGUUUCCCGCCAGAGAUAUGACUGACGCCUUGUGGCUGGCAUUGGGAGUCCACAUGCUACAUGCACGUUUUCUCAUUUAAAUCCUCAGAACAACUCAACAGACUCCACUGCAUGGAUUAGAAAAGCGACACAGAGAGAGAGGAAGCCACAGAGGAACAAGUGGACACAAUGGCAAGCCAGCCUCACUCCAAGCCUCUGCCCCCACCUACCUCCCACCCCCUCUCUGGGGAAAUCAAAUGAUACUCUAGAUGAGUCCUAAGGAACUGGACAGGUAUUAGACUUGAUUUCACAAUUUUGCCAGGAGGCAGAAAGUGUACUGCAAACAUGGCCCAUUUGCUGGAGGGGAACUCUAUUUUAGGGUGUCAGGACGUAAUCUCUAGGGGGAAAAAAUCACUCCUAUUUUUUCGAGAAAGAGUUCAGUGGUAACAUGGAAACACAAGCUCUUCCUCCUAUUGUGAGCCUCGAGCAACUUCACUGAUCUCAGGUGGGGACAGAGGAUCAUCUAACACCCCCGACACCAAACAUCUAGUUAUCCUUGUUUUAUAACAGAAGCCAGAACCCUGAAGCAGAACAAACCGCACUAAACUUGCUGAACUGCACACAAAAUUAAGGAGGAAGGGCCAGGUAGACCAAAGAUCUUAGCCUUCACUUUUUAAAAUCAUCUACUCCUUCAGUUCUAACUGGGACAAAAUCUCCAAGCUUUUGAAACCAGUUAACCAAAUUAUCAGAGUGUUCUCUCGAUGAAAUUUUAAACUGAAAUGGACUUGGAUCAAGUUUUUAUUUUCAAAGGGAAGACACUGAGUGUUGGGGGUGGGGGUGACUUUCCAGGAAGACCCUGCAGUCCUGGCUGGGAUUCUGGCACCCCCCUCCAACCCCCUAAUGUGCAAAGCCUCAUCCCCACGUUAUAGGAAUCCACGAAGCGGCCCUUGAGGGCAGCUGCCUUCUCACCUGUGGCCUGGCCAGGUUAUUAAUCCCUCUCGGCCCAAGGCCUGCUCGGAUGUCUGUCUUGGCUCCUUUGAACUGCAGCCCGAGCUUCCCUCCCUGCCCAAAUCCACCCUUCCCCAGAGCUGGGCUGGGCCAAGGUGUGGCCAAGGCAACAAGGGUUGCCUCUGCCCCAGAGCCACCUUGUGGCUGGCAGGCUGAGGUCGGGGAAGACUGGCCUGAACACAGGGCUCCUAAGGGCCAAGCCCAGGAUGCGGCCCUCUCGAACAUCCUCUUGCUCCCUGCGCCUGUGAGGCAGGCGUCCACCAGCCUGGGCACCAGCACGUGUGCCUAAGAGCCCCCGUCUGUCUGAUCCCAGAGUCGUGCUCCGUCCGCUCACCACACGCUGCCUCUCCAGAAGGCACAUUCUGCUUCUCUGUAAUUAGCAGAACCACCAAGUGCACUACGGUGUGAAGCAGAAUGAGCUAGCACAGCCCAGCCACACCUGGGCCUGCCCCCACCUGUCCCUGCUGCCGUCAGUGCCCCACCCCCUCCUGCUCCCACUCCUACCUGAGCCAUCCAGGGCCACCCAUUGCCUGUCGCAGUUUCCAGGGCAAUCUGCUGCCCCAUAUGUGUGGGAGUGAGAGACCACGGGCACGCAUGCAGGAGCAGGGACAGGGCACGGGGACCCGCAGUCCACUGCGGGUCACACACCGAGCCCUGGCAGCACUAGAGGGAUCCCAAGGAGGUGCUCAGGACCCAGCGGUGGACCCUGCCCCAGCUAGAACCAGAAACGGAGGCCGCUGAGCUAAAAGCAAGGCACAGCCCUGCCACCAGACAAGCAGAGGGUAGAGGAGAAUAGUGUCCUGCCCAGGCCUCACCCAGACCCUCGCGAGACGCCCACACUGCCAGUAGGAGGUGGCUGGCGAAGGCUGCUCAGGUGUUUCUAAAGGAGAAAGGGCCUAAUAGGAUCCAGGGUGCUCCGUAAACCAUGAUUGGUUUCAUCUGCAUGACAGCCUGGGGUGGGCAUUAUUACCCCCAAAUUAGAGGAAUCUACAGCUUGGUGAUUUGCCUGGGGUCAUGCAGCUGUUACAAGGUGGCUCUAGGAUUUCAUCCGACGGCCUUGACACUGUCCCAGUAGUCCCUGCGCCUGGGCUUUGGCUUUCCUGCAGCGGGAGGACCAGCACACACUGAAGAACUUAGAGUGUGCCACUUAAGAGCAAGGUCCACGGGGUGGCAGAGGUGACUAUAGGGAGCUGGCAGGUGGUGGAGAGGACUUGAGGAAGGCUGGCUCUGGCUCACCGGCUCUGCGGCACGUGUUGGAUGUUCAGGGCUCUUGGAGGAGGGCACAGCGCCCAACUCCACCCCCGCCUGCCCCACACCAGCUGUCAGAGGGGCCUGCUCAACCCCCACCCAUGAGCCCACAGAGGCAGCAGUUUGGGUCCUUUCUCAGGGAGCCUUCCUUGCUCACUUCCUGCCUGCCUCACAGAGGGUUGGAGAGGGCUGUGGGUUUCUCCUUGGGGACAGCUCUCCAGGGGCAGGACAGGGCCUGGCUGCCUCUGUGCCCUUUAUUCUGCCAGGCACCAACCAGGGCAGCACCCAGCUUCAGACCCUCUCCUCCCCG